AUUGAACGCUGGCGGCAGGCUUAACACAUGCAAGUCGAGCGGAGAGAGGUAGCUUGCUACUGAUCUUAGCGGCGGACGGGUGAGUAAUGCUUAGGAAUCUGCCUAUUAGUGGGGGACAACAUUUCGAAAGGAAUGCUAAUACCGCAUACGUCCUACGGGAGAAAGCAGGGGAUAUUCGGACCUUGCGCUAAUAGAUGAGCCUAAGUCGGAUUAGCUAGUUGGUGGGGUAAAGGCCUACCAAGGCGACGAUCUGUAGCGGGUCUGAGAGGAUGAUCCGCCACACUGGGACUGAGACACGGCCCAGACUCCUACGGGAGGCAGCAGUGGGGAAUAUUGGACAAUGGGCGCAAGCCUGAUCCAGCCAUGCCGCGUGUGUGAAGAAGGCCUUAUGGUUGUAAAGCACUUUAAGCGAGGAGGAGGCUACUUUAGUUAAUACCUAGAGAUAGUGGACGUUACUCGCAGAAUAAGCACCGGCUAACUCUGUGCCAGCAGCCGCAGUAACAC
rnacentral:rRNA from 1 species